rnacentral:tRNA from 1 species
GGGGACGUGGCGGAACUGGUAGACGCGCAGGUCUCAAAAACCUGUGUCCGAAAGGACGUGUGGGUUCGAUUCCCACCAUCCCCA